UACGGAGGAUCCGAGCGUUAUCCGGAUUUAUUGGGUUUAAAGGGUGCUCAGGCGGGGGAUUAAGUCGGCGGUGAAAUUUUGCAGCUCAACUGUAAAAGUGCCUUCGAAACUGGUUUCCUUGAGUGUGGAUGAAGUAGGCGGAAUUUGUGGUGUAGCGGUGAAAUGCAUAGAUAUCACGAGGAACUCCGAUUGCGCAGGCAGCUUACUAAACCAUAACUGACGCUCAGGCACGAAGGCGUGGGGAUCAAACAGGAUUAGAUACCCGGGUAGUCCCU
rnacentral:rRNA from 1 species